AUUGGUUACCUCACUCAGGAUGAUGCCU
rnacentral:piRNA from 1 species